GGUUGCGAUCAUACCAGCACUAAUGCACCGGAUCCCAUCAGGACUCCGCAGUUAAGCGUGCUUGGGUGAGAGUAGUACUAGGAUGGGUGACCCCCUGGGAAGUCCUCGUGUUGCAACCC
rnacentral:rRNA from 1 species